UCUGAGAAAAAAGAAAAAAAGAAGGAAAAAAACGAAAAGAAAAGAUUUUUUUUUUUUCAAAUCUAAUCCUAUCUGAGAAAAAAGAAAAAAGGAACUUUCCGAAGAAAAAAACAGAAAAAAGGAAGGAAAAAAAGAAAAGAGAAGGCUUCUUCUCCAGCGGCGGACAUCGCACACCUCACAUGGCUUCUUCUCGUCCUCCAUCGGAGUCGGAGCCGUUCGACCUCGACAUCACGAUCGUCUCCGCCAAGCACCUCAAGAACGUGAACUGGCGAUACGGCGAUCUCAAGCCCUAUGCCAUCUUUUGGGUCGACCCGGCCCGUCGUAACACCACCAAGUCCGACGACUCCGGCUCCACCCGACCCGUCUGGAACGAGCGCUUCCUCAUCCCUUUCACCCUCCCUCUCCACCACUCCUUCCUCACCGUCGAAAUCUUCCACUCCUACCCAACCGAGACCCCCAAACCCUUAGUCGGCACUCUCCGAAUCGCACUCCAAAACCUGUUCGACUCGGACGAUUCCAACCCACUCAGAACCCUCCAGCUCCUCCGUCCCUCAGGCCGCCCUCAGGGUAAGAUCCGUGUCAAACUCGCCCUCCGCGAACACCCAUCUCCGCCGCCUGUGCCGGCUUACCAUAUCACCCCUCUGCCAAACUUUUAUUACCCUACUGCCCCUCCCCCCCUCUACCGGGGAUACUCUACCUCGCCGUCCACCGCCACCCUCCCGCCACCAUCACAGGUGGCGUUCCCAUCUCCGUCACGGCCACUGCAUACCCAUGCGUAUGGCGCGUACUCGGAUCCGAAUUCGGGGCACUACUACGGGUAUUACUCUCAGCCUCCACCGCCGACAUUGAUACCGUCACCGCCUCUGCCGUCCUUCGACUGGCAGUCUAGUUGUGGUGGGCCGAGCGCCCCGGUGGAUUAUACACCGUAUGAUCAGAGGCCAAAGGGGGCAAAGAUGGGAUUCGGCACGGGAUUAGCGGUUGGAGCAGUUGCGGGGGCAAUGGGAGGGCUGGCAUUGGAGGAAGGGUUGAAAGAUGAGGAGGACAGAAUUUCUGAGAGAGGAGAGAACGAUUUGGCUGCAAGGAACUAUUACAGCAAGUACUGGGUUGAUUAUGGAUGUAAUUAAAUUCUAGGGCUCGGAGUCUUACCAUGAGGGUGGAAGAUAUUCUAUGUGGCCGAACAACUAUGAAGGCAUUCUUUAUGUUUAUGAAUGGGUGAUGUGACACAUAUGGUGCUUUGUACAAGUAGUGUUUAUUCACGAGGAUGGAUCAUGGAAUUCAAUGAUGGUUUCUUUGUUCCUAGUCAUUUUCAUAUCUCAUGUUGAUGAAGGUGCCGAGUGCAUAGGUGAAGUUCAAAAGUGCUUCUCUUGAUCCAAGGAUGUUCCUCCAUGUUUUAUGACCUUGUUUGGCUAUUUGGAGUAUGCAGUUACGGCAACAAGAAGUUUAAAAACAAAUAGCUUUGAGAACAGAUGGUUACAAGUUUGAGUCUCAGGCGAUGCUUUAUAAGCGCCAAUGCUCAUCUGCUCCGGGUGAAUACCUUUAGCUAACUUGGAGAUUGCCCUCCGUGGCUCCACCUCUCAAUAGGUUGUAUAAAAAAAGUUUGUUGUGGUGUCAUCAUGCUCCAUGUACCUCCUUUUGUAGGGUGGUAAACCAUCUCAUGCUGUCUGUUUGAAGUCUAUGGAUGGCCCUAGGGCAACUUUCCAGCAUGAAUAGGGGUAUCAGACAAAGGGUCCAUGCAGGAGGUGGAGGCGGUUAUGGCGGAGGGCCUGAGCUACGCUACUACGGUAUGGUGGUGACGGUCUCAUUACUUUAGGAAAAGCGGUGCAUCAGAUUGGAAAAGUUUUUUUUUUUUUGGUCAAUCUGGGUCGAUGAUCAUAAUCCGCAACAUGCGAAUUUGUUGGCAUAUGCUUCUGAAAGGGUGAAAUGCUGUUUGUGAUAUCUAAUGAAGUAAAAAAUGAUAUAUAUAUAUAUAUCUAUCUGUGUGUGUGUAUGUAAA